GCCCUCGUAGCUCAGUGGAUAGAGCACCGCUCUCCUAAAGCGGGUGUCGCACGUUCGAAUCGUGUCGGGGGCA
rnacentral:tRNA from 1 species